GAGGGUAUGGCUCAGUGGUAAAGCACAUGCUUAGCAUGCAUGAGGGCCUGGGUUCAAUCCUCAGUACCUCCU
rnacentral:tRNA from 1 species